GUCCCCAUCGUCUAGCCCGGCCUAGGACAUCGCCCUUUCACGGCGGUAACGCGGGUUCAAAUCCCGCUGGGGACGCCA
rnacentral:tRNA from 1 species